UCUUAUGGAUGAGCAAAGAAAGUGGUUUCUUGAGAUGGAAACUACUCCUGUGGAGAUGCUGUGAA
rnacentral:pre_miRNA from 2 species